AAAAAGAAUAGAUUUGCCGUAGACAGUAGGGGCUUUAAGCUUAAUAUCCUACCGAGGUUUUAGAUAAAUUUUGAUACUAAAGCUUUUGUAUGUCUAUAAGGAUUGCAAAAGCUUUUGAUA
rnacentral:sRNA from 1 species